AGAGGAUGAUCCGCCACACUGGAACUGAGACACGGUCCAGACUCCUACGGGAGGCAGCAGUGGGGAAUUUUGGACAAUGGGGGCAACCCUGAUCCAGCCAUGCCGCGUGAGUGAAGAAGGCCUUCGGGUUGUAAAGCUCUUUCAGCCGGGAAGAAAAUGCAUGGGUUAAUACCCUGUGCAGAUGACGGUACCGGAAUAAGAAGCACCGGCUAACUACGUGCCAGCAGCCGCGGUAAUACGUAGAGUGCGAGCGUUAAUCGGAAUUACUGGGCGUAAAGCGUGCGCAGGCGGUUUUGUAAGACAGGCGUGAAAUCCCCGGGCUUAACCUGGGAACUGCGUUUGUGACUGCAAGGCUAGAGUACGGCAGAGGGGGGUGGAAUUCCACGUGUAGCAGUGAAAUGCGUAGAGAUGUGGAGGAACACCAAUGGCGAAGGCAGCCCCCUGGGUCGAUACUGACGCUCAUGCACGAAAGCGUGGGUAGCAAACAGGAUUAGAUACCCUGGUAGUCCACGCCCUAAACGAUGUCAACUAGGUGUUGGGAGGGUAAAACCUUUUAGUACCGUAGCUAACGCGAGAAGUUGACCGCCUGGGGAGUACGGCCGCAAGGUUAAAACUCAAAGGAAUUGACGGGGACCCGCACAAGCGGUGGAUGAUGUGGAUUAAUUCGAUGCAACGCGAAAAACCUUACCUACCCUUGACAUGUCAGGAACUUUCCAGAGAUGGAUUGGUGCCCGAAAGGGAACCUGAACACAGGUGCUGCAUGGCUGUCGUCAGCUCGUGUCGUGAGAUGUUGGGUUAAGUCCCGCAACGAGCGCAACCCUUGUCGUUAAUUGCCAUCAUUCAGUUGGGCACUUUAACGAGACUGCCGGUGACAAACCGGAGGAAGGUGGGGAUGACGUCAAGUCCUCAUGGCCCUUAUGGGUAGGGCUUCACACGUCAUACAAUGGUCGGUACAAAGGGUCGCCAACCCGCGAGGGGGAGCCAAUCCCAUAAAGCCGAUCGUAGUCCGGAUUGUAGGCUGCAACUCGCCUGCAUGAAGUCGGAAUCGCUAGUAAUCGUGGAUCAGCAUGUCACGGUGAAUACGUUCCCGGGUCUUGUACACACCGCCCGUCACACCAUGGGAGCGGGUUCCGCCAGAAGUAGGUAGCCUAACCGCAAGGGGGGCGCUUACCACGGCGGGGUUCGUGACUGGGGUGAAGUCGUAACAAGGUA
rnacentral:rRNA from 1 species